rnacentral:rRNA from 1 species
CAGUCGCCGCGAUAAUACGAAGGGGGCUAGCGUUGUUCGGAUUACUGGGCGUAAAGCGCACGUAGGCGGAUCGAUCAGUCAGGGGUGAAAUCCCAGAGCUCAACUCUGGAACUGCCUUUGAUACUGUCGAUCUGGAGUAUGGAAGAGGUGAGUGGAAUUCCGAGUGUAGAGGUGAAAUUCGUAGAUAUUCGGAGGAACACCAGUGGCGAAGGCGGCUCACUGGACGCGUAUUGACGCUGAGGUGCGAAAGCGUGGGGAGCAAACAGGAUUAGAUACCCGCGUAGUCCCUGUCUCUUAUACA